CCGAGCGGGGGAGUAACAUUCCGAAAGGAGUGCUAAUACCGCAUAAGACCACGAACUCGAAAGAGUCUGAGGUCAAAGCCGGCCUCUAUACAUAAGCUGGCACUUGAGGAUGAGUCCGCGGCCCAUCAGCUAGUUGGCGGGGUAAUGGCCCACCAAGGCGAAGACGGGUAGCUGGUCUGAGAGGAUGAUCAGCCACACUGGAACUGAGACACGGUCCAG
rnacentral:rRNA from 1 species